AUGAGCGCCUGUCCUCCCCAUUCCCUGCAACUCCGCGCACGUCGCCGCGCCAAUCAUGGUGCGGUCGGCCUGGACCCGGACUAUGCGGAACGGGCAUGUAGCGGGCGCUUUGAGACAGAAGUCAGCCGCUGGUUCCGGUAAUCGGGACGGCGGCUUUUUUG
rnacentral:ncRNA from 1 species